UACCUAAAGGCCGUGCAAAGUCAACAGCUGGCUACCUCCAAAGUUCGUAUUUGGUUAGAAAAUCGUGAUUAUUUUAAUGCAGUAUUGCUAUAAAUAUGUUUAAAUGCAUUUUAGACAAACUUGAAACUUAAGGUCACGACAUUGUGACUCUUAAACGAGGAUUGUCCUUAUUGAACACAAACCGAAAAUUACCGGGAUUGGAUCUUUCUUUUAAAAAAAAUAUAAAUUAGGGUUUUUGUUUAUUGUUUGACCUCGUAAAGUCGUCAGUUUUAAUAAUAAAGACACUCACAGGUAACUAUGAUACUUGCACAAACAAAAACAAAAAAAGCACAAACAGAAAAAUAGUUUGAUAACUCGAGCUAGCUUUUAUAAUUCCAAGUUUUGUGAAAUUUACGAUUAUCGACUGUACGUUCAUAAUCAUGAAAUUGUGCGUUUUCUUCCUCGUCUUGGUGAGUGCAGUGCGCCGUCCUCAAUCCAGCCGGGACAAAGUUAUUUUUCUGAAAGUUUAAAAGCUGCUAUUUGACAAUCAAAAAAUCACGACCCUUCGUAAAAACCACUUUGAUUUUACGUGAAAACACACGAAGCGUCGCAGCCUCUCGUUUGUCAUCUUUGUCAUCGUAUAAUCAACUUUGCACUGAAAAUUACAGACGUGUAAUUAAAAGAAGCCAUUACUCAAGGAGGCAGAUUAUUUAAAAGUAUUUAGAAUAAUUAAGUUUUCAUUCAUUUUCAGGUUUGAGUAUUUUGCUACAUUCAGUUAACGCUCAUUUACUAAUAUAUAUAUCAGUUUUGAAAUCGGCUGUAAUUAUAUAUUUUAAAAUGCAUUAGUGGUAGUUCUUGUAUAUUUAAGCUAAAAAAAAACAGGUCAUUUUCAAAUCCAGGUCAUCGUGUUUUUUACGUUUUCAGGUCAAACUAACAGGAUUUCAUUCCAAAAUCACUAAAACAGGUCGGCGCUGUCUUUAGAGAAACUUUAAUAUCGGUGCGUCUUUAAAAGGAUCUGAAGCAUUUUGGAAUGAAAAUCCUCAGCCGCUCAAAAACAGCGUCAAACCAAACCAAAAACUACAAAACACGCCGUAAAUGUCCGUUUGUAUUUUUCUGUUUUAUAUAAUUCUGAGCUCCGGGAGUGUUUUAGACAUUUUCAGGGUUUAUUUUUGCAUCACCAUGACUUUUUCUUCUUUUAUUGACUUCAUGAAAAAAUCCAGGAUGGGAGUCUAAUUUCUUUAUUUCUUUUAAUAAAAAACAGAAACACUGUCCCCUAAAAAAAGGAAACACGACACGGUGUUUAGGUUAAUUUACGUUGGUCGGGAGACUGUCUUAAAUGCUACGUAGCGUCUUCUGUUAGCAGUAUAGAUGUUGUUUGUCCGCUCUAGAUCCCUAAUACAUGCUGUUCUGGUUUAGGUUAGCUAAAGCUAGUUCAGCUAGCUCUGGCUUUCCUUGCGUUAUGAUAAAUAAAGUCUAAUUAUGUUGUACUUCAAACAUUUUUAAGGGAAGUAAUAAAAUGCCUUAUUUGCUACAAAAAAAAAUAUUUAUGAAGAGAUAUUUAUUGGAUUGAAUCGUUCAAAAAUCCCUUCGUGCUUCACCGUAACGGUUCAGAAAAGAGUUUCCUGUCAUGCUCCACGGGGGCUGAAAUAUGUGACGCCAGAAACUGAAUUUGAAUCAUUUUUAUUAGAAUUGCGAAACAUGAAUAAUUGAAUUUGAAUCACAGAAUCUCAAAAUUCAAAUUCAGUUCACAAAAUUCAGCUCUGGUUUAAGUUCCUCACACACCAGGGCCGACGCGAAUAUAGAACGCGAAAUUACAAAAUAUUUCUGGGGGGAAAAUGACGCACUUUCCCCGGGAAAAGUCUUCCCCGGGGAAAGUCCCGCCUCCUUCGCCUCUGACUGGCUAGAAAAGCUGGAAUCGUCAUCACACGCUCAAGCCAAACGGUCAGCACUUAUAGCCAAUCAGAAGGGAUAAGAUAAGAUAGUCUAAACUCCUCUGGUGCGGAGACACGGUCUGACAGCAUGUAUCAGGGUUAGUUUUACGAUAACCGCCAUCGAUCUGAAAAUAAGGGCUGUAACUCCGAAGCCUUCAUGGCCUUGUCUUCUUCGUGCCUCUACGCGCUGAUUAAUGCUUCUGUCUUCUCUGAAAAACGGCGUUUCCAGCUUCACUUGGAACUGAAAUGUCUUCUGUUGUGUGUUUCUAAAAAAAAAGUUGUUUUUUUUAAGCGUUCGUUGAAAUGUUUGUUUUGUAAUUGUGUGUAAAGAUGGUUUUAAAGUGACGUGUGUUUGCAAAGUAACUCAUGAUGAAUGAAAAUGAAGAGCUGUUAACUCGUCUGCUCCUGAAUGUUUUCUUUAAAGGACAGUCAGUCAUAUCAGGUGACCAGAUAACAGUAUUACACACUCCACAAAAUCAGUGACCACACUUUCUCUCUGCACAAACUCAAGCCUGUAUUCAUUCUGCCUCGCUUGGAUUACGGUUUGAUAAGUAUUAAAUGUGGGAAAGAUAAUUGUUUGUUUCGCACACUAAGAACUUCAUAGACAAAUCAGAGGAGAGGGUAUAAAACAAACUAUCGGAUAACGAUGGCGUUUGACCAAUGGCCAGCCAACACUCGCUCACGCUGACGGUGUUAGCUAACGUUACUGUUCGCUAUGAGUCAAAGAUUUUCCCGACAUAUCAGGCAAGAAAACACGAUAUUGAUUAUUACAGAAUUUUUGUCGUUUCCACCAGAGAAACACGAAAAAAGUAUCUGAAAAGUGAGCUGCGCCGUAUACACCGCAGCAGCUACAUACCUAUUCAUGAAAGUGGCGUUUUAUUGUGUUAUGGUAUUUAAACCAGAAGAUGGCACUCAAAGGCAUAAGAGACCAGUUAGAUUCCCAAAGCAUGCUGGAUAAUUCGUAAGAUGGACCAGUCAGGAGGGGCUGCUUUCUGACACCGGUGGUAGACUGUCGGACAUCCAGUCGGCAAACCAGAUUACCACAAAGGUAAACAGGCCUUUAUCUACGGCUUCACACUGCAGGUUCUGACGCACAAUUCUGUUUUUUGUUAAAUCCGAUCUUUACAACAACGAAUGUGGCAUCUAAUGUGAACGGAAUGCAUCCAUGAAGAAUGCGUCCGAAUUGCUUUCUGCGUCUGUUUGUGUCGUCGAACAACGGUGACGUUUGUCGCAUAUUGACGAUGUAAAGGUCGGAUCAACGCAACCUGAGCGUCCACACUGCAGUCACAUCAGAUACAUAUCUGAUUUAUAUCCACAUACAGAAGAGGCCUGGGUCGGAUCAGAACCAAUCAGAAUUGACCUGCAGUCUGAACGUAGACUACACUAUUUAACAUUUUUAACGUACAGGACCGAAUAUAGAGCUCACUGUGAAUGCACUAAUGUUUAUAUAGAGAUAUAUAUUUAUUGAAUGUUGAACUUCCCCAGAGCUUUGGAGAAAAAAAACCUUUAGAGGACAAAAUUAAAUUAUAACUGAACAUUAUUUUAAAGGAUUUGGAUCUCAAACAGAGUCGAAACAUUAGAACCAUCGGUAAUCUAAGGGCUUCAAACUUUUUAUGUUGCACGAAAACUUCCAAGUUACGUUAAACUUGACAAAGUCACCAUCCCCACAUACAGUCUCCCACAUUUCCUCCUGAAAACUACAACCAGGAAAAGUCGUUUUUUUUUUAAAAGUUUGUUUGUAUUUUGUUCUCUAUGAUUAUUGGAUCUGUCUCAGUCCGCUUUCUUUUCGUUUACCAUCGAAGUUUUCGGUUUAACAGUCAGAUCUAAUCUUCUGCAACAUAGAUGUUUCCUACAAAUAUCAAACUCUUUAUAUGAAGUCAGAUUAAUUAUACCUUAUUAGCCAUAUUUCCGAGCGUUUCAUAAGCUAAAUUUUUACCUCUGCAUUGAGUAAAAUGUUUGUUUUAUUCGUCUGUUUCUGGACGAUGCUUGAAACUGAAGCGUCCUGGUUUUAGAAAGAUGAAAAUAUGAACAGUUUGUUGUUUGUUUCAGCUCAGUGUUGGUAAAAGGAGUGAAAUGGAAAAGAUUCCUCUGAACGUGUUAGCUUUGGGCUCAGAGCUGUUAGCCUGUGAUGUCGCCGUGUACGUCCAUGUGCUGAGAGGUCGACUGUUUUUCUCCUCGUGUGGCUUCACUCCUCUGUGCUCUGAACAACCUGCCUGAAGUGCUCACACAGUGUUUGCUAUCUGCAGGAACUUAAAGUGUAUUUUUUCUGGAUUAUGUUUCAAUAAAGAUAUUUUAAAACCAUGAUGAA
rnacentral:lncRNA from 1 species